GAAUUAUUAGAAUUUAAGCUGCUAACUUAUAAUCCAAAUGACUACACUCAUUUAUAAUUCU
rnacentral:tRNA from 1 species